AAGGGGAGAGAGAGUGUAUUCACAUAACUUUUAUUACAGUGUAUUGUUCUAUUUUAUUAUUAGUUAUUGUUGUUAAGCUCUUACUGUACCUAAUUUAUGAAUUAAAUUUUAUCACUGGCAUAUAUGUAUAGAAAAAAACAUUCUAUAUAGAGUUUUAUACCAUCCCCAGUUUCAGGCAUCCACUGGGGGUCUUAGAACAUAUUCUUUGCAGGUGGGAGAAUUCCUGUCCUGGAAAGCAGUAGGAUUCCUGCAGAUUUCGCUUUUCAGAUCUGUUAGCCUGGAGAAGUUAUCCGUUUUGGGCUCAUUCUUUCCCACUUCU
rnacentral:lncRNA from 1 species